UGGGACCUUAUAUAGACAGGUGUGUGCCUUUCCAAAUCAUGUCCAAUCAAUUGAAUUUACCACAGAUAGACUCCAAUCAAGCUGUAGAAACAUCUCAAGGAUGAUCAAUGGAAACACGUAUGUAAAUAAGGUAUUUCUGUUUUUAUGUUAAAUAAAUAAAUAUGCAAAAAUGUCUAAAAAAGGUUUUACUUUGUUAUUAUGGGAUGUUGUGUUUUGGUUGAUGAUGAAAACCAUUUAUUUAAUCAUUUUUAGAAUGAGGCUGUCAGGGUUCUGAAUACUUUCUGAAAACGCUGUACGUCAAUGUUGGGGAAACGAUGGAGAUGACGAAUAUGAAGCUGAAAACUGGGACAUUUCCCUUAAAGAUAUUUAUGUUACCAUGUUUACCAAACAUAUACAGGACAUGGUUACCAUGUUUACCAAACAUAUACAGGACAUGGUUACCAUGUUUACCAAACAUAUACAGGACAUGGUUACCAUGUUUACCAAACAUAUACAGGACAUGGUUACCAUGUUUACCAAACAUAUACAGGACAUGGUUACCAUGUUUACCAAACAUAUACAGGACAUGGUUACCAUGUUUACCAAACAUAUACAGGACAUGGUUACCAUGUUUACCAAACAUAUACAGGACAUGGUUACCAUGUUUACCAAACAUAUACAGGACAUGGUUACCAUGUUUACCAAACAUAUAAUAUACAGGACAUGGUUACCAUGUUUACCAAACAUAUACAGGACAUGGUUACCAUGUUUACCAAACAUAUACAGGACAUGGUUACCAUGUUUACCAAACAUAUACAGGACAUGGUUACCAUGUUUACCAAACAUAUACAGGACAUGGUUACCAUGUUCACCAAACAUAUACAGGACAUGGUUACCAUGUUUACCAAACAUAUACAGGACAUGGUUACCAUGUUUACCAAACAUAUACAGGACAUGGUUACCAUGUUUACCAAACAUAUACAGGACAUGGUUACCAUGUUUACCAUAUACAGGACAUGGUUACCAUGUUUACCAAACAUAUACAGUACAUGGUUACCAUGUUCACCAAACAUAUACAGGACAUGGUUACCAUGUUUACCAAACAUAUACAGGACAUGGUUACCAUGGUCACCAAACAUAUCCAGGACAUGGUUACCAUGGUCACCAAACAUAUACAGGACAUGGUUACCAUGUUUACCAAACAUAUACAGGACAUGGUUACCAUGUUUACCAAACAUAUACAGGACAUGGUUACCAUGUUUACCAAACAUAUACAGGACAUGGUUACCAUGUUUACCAAACAUAUACAGGA
rnacentral:lncRNA from 1 species